CGCCGCCGCCACCACCACCACCACCGCCGCUGCCACCUGACAAAAUGGCUACUCUUACUGGCACUUGGUUGGUCGCUGUAUGGAAGUCUAGGUUAAACAGCUGGUUUCCUCCCCACCCCCACCCCCACCCCCGAACUGCCAGUGUCCUUUCAGCUACCAUUCCUGCAGCUUAUCAACUGCACCGAGAGUUCUCCAGGCCUCCUGAGUCAUGUUCAGCUGUGGGAAGUUUGCUUUCGGUGUUUCUUUAAUAUUUUACUUACUGCUGUACUCUCUUUCCUAUUUCUUGAAAUUCUGCAUUUAUACCCCAAUUUUCUUAUCUUUUCUGUUGUUAUCCAUGUUCAAUUUUUAGUCUACUAAAACUCUGCCACUUCUUGUAACAUUAGUAGAUGAUGUUUCAUUUACCAGCUUAAUUUUUUAAAGAUUAAAAUGUGUGUGUGUUUGUGUGUGUGUGUGCGUGCACGCAUGUGUGCACAUGAGUGCAGGUGCAUGCAGAGGCCAGAAGAGAUCUCCUGGAUCUGGAGUCAUGCGUAGUGGCGGUGAGCCACCUGAAGUGCGUGCCGGAAACUCUGCACGAGCGGUGGGUGAGAGAGAGAGAGAGAGAGAGAGCCCUAACCACCGGGCUGCUUCUCACCAGUGUAACACGUCCUCUCCUGUUUCUAGUUUCCUGGGUGAUUUUAUUCAGGCAUCAAUACCCAGCGGAUCCGAUCCGGGCACCCUGGCUGUCUAUAACGAGCCACAUAGGCCUCUGUCAGCAGUCCUCCAAUUGCUUAUCCUCAGCCAUCCUCACUGGAGCAGGAGAAGAUGAAGGAGGAGACAGGUCCUGUGGUCAACAGUCAAGGAAACCCGUUCCUGCCUCAGCCUCUGAGCCUCUAUGCUCCCACUGCAGAGGAGAAUCCAUUCUGGCUGCUGUCCCCUGCCCUCUAAGAUCUGCCAUUUCUGAGGCCUGCUGCUCUGAGCCUGUGACUCUCGUGGAGAUCUACGAGACAGUGACAUUUCUAAUGUGUAUCAGCAAACUCUCCGCCCCCCUCCUGCUGCUACCAAGAGUUCAAGUCCUAGGGUUCCAUUUAAUUGUGGUCUCCCCUGCUUGAAUUGUUCAUUUCCCAUUAAUAAAGUUCCCCUUGGUCG